GAAUGUACUAAAUGCCAAUGAACUGUGCGCUUAAAAGUGGUUAAUAUGGUCAACUUUGCAUUAUUUUAUCAUGAUCCAUUUUUAAAAAAUCAAUUUCUACCAGCCAUCAUCAUAAUUUCACAGAGAAAGACCAUUCAGCACAAAAAAAGCUUAAAGGGGCAGUUGGGCCUGCCAUCUUGCAAGCAGUGCUCUGGGCUCUGAAGAGCUCCAGUGUCUGCACGUGAGAAACAUGAGGUGCAGAGAUGGGAAGCAGGAGCCCAGCGAGAGGGAGGCGGCACUGGUCCGAGGGAGCGCAGGUGGUGCCCAGGGUCAGGGACAGCAGAGCUGUUACCACUUCCAGGCCUUAAGGGGUUGUGGGGGAGGGGAGGGAGCAUUUACCACACCCAGAGGAGAGCGGCGUGGACAGAGGGCUGUUUGAGAGGAGGAGUGAACUUGGGCAAGGACAUAGUCCAGCCACAAGGGGCGGCCAGGGCAAUAAAUCCCCGUCUCACUCUCCUUCUCUCUGGUCUCCUUCUGGGACUCUCUAACAGCUAAACCCAAAUGGAAGUCAGAGGCCAAGAAGCCAGUGGGUGCUGUCCUUGGAGGUCAGACUCCAUAGCAGCAAGCAGCAAGGGAAGGAGGAGAGCGGACCUGGAGAGACCAAUGGAAGAGCUUGUACCGUCCAGUGAGGAGAGAGCCCACUCAAGUUCAAUGGAGGGAACUUACUAUGAAGCAGUAGUUACGAAAGAGCUAGAAGAGCCGAGGAUGCAAACAGGAAAUGAUGAGGCAACCUAGAGACCAGCAGCAGACUGCAAGCUGACACCACCCUAAGGCCAGAGGGAUGAAGGGAAGAUGAGAUCACAGACGGCUUUCAUGUUACCAAAUGAAAGCACAUGUUUUCCUUCCCAUCUGGACCCCUCCGCAGUGGUCAGCACUGUUGGCUCCCUGUGUCAAUCUUGUGCCUGGUUGCUCAAAACGCUUGCCCUGCUGUGCUCUGUAUUGCACAAUUCUGAAGUCAGAGUCACCCAGCAGGAGAAAAAAACAUAAAAGAGGACCACUCAAGAACUGGGACCUAUCUGGGAUCACGGAAGAGACACAGCUACUCCUGGAGCUGCUGCCUGAAGUAGAAAUAGAGGGAAACACCCCGGCUUCGGCUGUUCUCUUCUCAUCUCCCACCAGGGCUUCCCAGUGCCUUAACCAACUGGAAGUCACUCGCUUGGCAAGGGAGCCUGAGAAAUGUGGUUUGCUGGGGUCAGGCACCUGCAAUAUGGAGCAGAGGGGGGCGAGCAAGGAACAGAGCUGCAAGCAACCAGGCACAUGGCUCACACAGGAGGCCAAGAGCAUUGUCUGUUAUGAAGAGAUCCCGAUGGGAAAGAAAGUGUGUGCAGUAGGUCUGGCAGCAUGGAAGGCAUCGGCCCUCAGUGAGCGCUGUGUCUGGAGUGAUGGGAGUACAGCCAGCUUGGAGAGAGUGAAAAGGCCAUUGUGGAGUCCUUCACACGCUUUUCCAGAGUUCAUCGUCCUCACAUCGUGAGAUACAGCAGCCUUAAAAUCUGUGAUGUCACCGGAAAAUACAUCCUAAGCCACAGGAACCCACUUGCAUCUCAUUGAUAGGUUUUAAAAAAUCCUUCUGCAAAUGUAUAUUCAUAAUUUGUAGAAAAAUAUUGUAGAAUGCUACUAAUUAUUGUAUUCUUUUUCAAGUGCCCUUUAAAAGGCUUGCUGAGUUCAACAGUUAAAAUUGUGUUGGCUUUAGGAAUAUUUACUAAAUGUGUGUUAUAUUUCUUUGUCUCCUUUUGGUUAAAUUUAUUAUGGAACAUUUUAAACAUAUACAAAAUUAGAGAAAAUGUGUAAUAAAAUCUCAUGUCCCCAUAAUCCCACCCCAAAAAUUAUCAAUUCAUGGCUAAUUUUGUUUACCUAUACCCAUUUUCUCCUCCCCAACAUUAGCUUAUUUUGAAGCAAACCCAGACAUCAUGUCAUCUCAUGUGUAGUAUUUCAGUAUGUAUCUCUGAAAAAUAAAAUUAUUUUUAAGAAACAGCCACAAUAUAUCACACCUAAAAAAAUUAAUAGUAAUUUCCUAUUACCGUCAAACAUGCAGUGUGUGUUGUAAUUCCCCCGACUGUACAUUUAGCAGGUCUGAACCAGGUCCACACACUGCCAUUUGCUGAUACGUCCCUCUUAACCUCUCUCUCUCCCUUUCCCUCUCUCCCUCUCUCUUUCUUUUUCUCCCUUUUCUUUCUCUGUCUCUGUCUCUCUGUCUGGUCUCUCUCUCUCCCUCCCCUCCCCAUUCCCUCCCUCUCCUUUUCUCUCUCUCCGCUCCUCCCACUCUGUCAAUUCUGUGCAAUUUAUUUGUUGAAGAGACAAAGUGGAUUGUCCUGUAGAGUUUUCUGCUGGAUUUGGGGAUCACAACCCUGCUGUAAAUUGGUAGCUGGAGCUAGAGUCAUAGUCAGACUCAGGUUUGGUUUGUUUGUGUGAUUGUUGGCGAGAGUACUUCCCACGUAGUGUUGUUACUUUCAUCAGGGGGCACAUAAUACCUGGUUAUGUCUCUUUUUAAUGUUAGUGAUCGUCAAUGUUCAUUGCCCAGAUCCAUCACUUUGUUUCACCAGUUUCACCAGCAUCUCACAAAGAUGACCAAUGAUUUUUUUAAGCACCAUUAUGGACUCAUGGAAUUUGAUACAUUUUGUGUACCUCAAUUCCUUGCAAUUAUUUUCCCUUAUUUCCUAUUGUUCAAGUCGCCUAUCUUUGGCCAGUGGACUCUCUUCAGCGAGGUUCCUGAGUGUGGGGGCUGUGCCCCCCGGAAUGUUUGAAAGCUCCUUGUUUUCUGAUAGGAAAGGAUGUGGCCGGUUCAUUUUGUGCAUCUCCCUACCCCAGACCAGGAAUUAGCUAUUUCUCCAAAGCCCCACUGCCCCCCAAUCACUUAGUAUGUGCUCAGUGUGUUCAGAGCUCAGAGCUAGGAAACACUUUCAAUGAGGGAGAAUUUAUCAACAGUCCAUAGUGAAACUUUCAGCUCAAAUGCAGGCUUGUGGCAUUGUAUUUAACCUCUGUGAUCUCACUCACAUCUGGAUCGCUUCCCUUCCAUGCUGAAAACCACCCUUCACAAGGACACUAGUAGUAAUAAUCACUUCCUUUAUCCCACAAACCACACAGCAGUGUAGGAACAGACACUGACAUUGCUUCCGACUAUUUGGUGACUGGACAGGGCUAAGGUGUUCCUGCCCUCCUCCUGACCCCUGCAGAGCACUGCACUGAGUCCAUUCGCCAUCGCUGACUCGCAAGUUCACUGGUAGACACAGGCUCCUUCGCUAAUGACUGUGUAGGGUGGGUCAUGAUGUAUUCAGCUGUUCUGAUGCACACCACAAUGUUUCAGUGUCCCUGCCCUCCCUACAACCAACAAUAUUGUAGCAAAUAGCCUCCUGUGCUGGAAAUUUUUCUGUAGGCUGGUUUUCCAAAAGUUGAAUUGCUGAGUUAAAUGGUAUGGAUAGAGUGGUGCCUGUGGAUGUCAUCACUCCCUGUCUACCAGGAGGCACACAGAUGCCUGCUUGGGAUGCCAGAGCAGGACCCCUGACCCUGGCGCUGAGCUUGGGGCUGUCUGUUGGGCCUUUGCUUGACUAGGGUAGAGACACCCCUUGGUUUAGUACCAGUUACAGGGUUUUCAGUUACUUGCAGCCAAAUGCAGGUGAAGAUGCCGGGAAGGGUAGGACAGGGUCCAGGCAGGAGCCGAUGUGAGGCCGCCAGCUAGAUGUGACCUGGUGUGCACCAGAAGCAGCCUCUUCUGUCACCUGCAAGGGGAAGCAAAGCAGCCCCGCCAUCUCAGCCUCUGCCUCCAGGAAAUCUCUGUUGCUACAGCAACCAAGGGCAUGGCUCAUCACCUCAUCACUCCUUCUGGGAGAAUGCUGAGCCAGGCCGGGAGGCAGGCAGCAGCCCAGCGCUGCCCGGACUCUGCUCUUUAUGGAGGAGCUGGCAGCUCUGCGCAGGUGUUAUGGGUUACACACAGCCAAGCUGAGAUUCGGGCUAACUUCGAUGCUUCCUUACACCACGCACACAGAGGGACCCGUCUAGACAAAGGUGCCCCAGGCCACGUCUCCCUCUUUCCCCUUUCCUGGAGUCCAGAGGAGUGCUCACUUUGCCCUCAGUCCAGUUUGAGGUGUGGCGUGCAUCACUCCCCACACUAAAUUUCCUUUAUGGUAAGACCCAUGCAUGAGGAUGAGUUUUUGUGUUUGCAAAGCACACAGUGGACCCAUAUGCUGAGGAGAUGGCAUUUCUCCUGUCGUGGGUCUCCCCACCAGGCCACAAUGUUGAGAGCCUGGACCUCUUUCAGGCCUACCUGAACUUGGCCACAGCAACCCCACCUGGCCUGGGGGUGCCAGCCACAGUCAGAGUCUGUGAACCCCACAUCACCCACUGGAGAGUUGGUACAGCUGACAGGGCAAGGAUCCUGGCAGGCUCACUCAAUCCACUUAAAAUGAUGAUAACAUUUCAAUUCCCUGUGUCAUCUAGUAGAAUUCUAAAAAUACUGGAGAAUUAAAGUAUUGUCCAGUAGUUAAUGUUAGGACAAACAGAAAGCAAUUAAAAAUAAUGAAUGCAUCAAAAUAAGUGUACAUGGUUGUCAAAUGUUAAAAGCCAAAUGAUAUUUAAGUAGCAACAGUAACGGAGAAUGUGUUAACCAAGUCAGACCAGACUGCUCUCUGUCCAGAACACUGAAAGGAGGGUCAAAAACAAGGAUAGAGGAUUGGAAGGAUGUGUUUUAAUCAAAACUUUCUGUGACUUUUGGGUCUUUUUGGUGAGGAAGAUUGCUGCAGAGCCAACAUCUGUGGCAAUCUUCCUCUAUUUUGCACGUGGGACACUGCCACAGUGUGGCUUGAGAAGUGGUGUGUAGGUCUGCACCCAGGAUUCGAACCCGUGAACCCCAGGCCACUGAAGCAGAGCGCGUGAACUUAACCACUGUGCCACCAGGCGGCCCCUGUAUCUCCUUUAAAAAGUCAAAAUGAAGGGAAAUAAAAAUAAAGGAACACAGAGCUGCCCUGGCUCCCUGAAGAUUCAACUUCACACUUCUCCCAAGGGCCACUGGAGCCAGGCCUAUCCUGGAGGCGUGGGUCGCUGUGGGUCGCCGUGAGAAUCUGGGGCACCUCAGAGCUUUGCACUCAAACCUGGUAUUCCACGUCCUUCUGGAAAUGUGUUUGUCAAGGUGGGAGACAGAAGAUCUUUGUGUAGCUCGCACAGAAACGUGUGCCCGUUUAGACACAGCCCCCACUUGUGCCACGUGCCCGCCGUGUUGCAGCCAGGGAGGGCAGUGCUCUGCCAAGGCCUCCAGCUUCCCACCUGGGGGCUUCCGAUGCCUGAUCGAGAGGUCCGGCCAGUGGACAGUCCAGAAGUAAGGGGUCUCCGAGCCCCAUGAGGCAGCCCUUGACCGAUGGGACACAGGAUGAGCCAAUAAGGGCUUCCCUUCCCCUGGCAGACGGUUCUGAGACGCAUCUCCAAGGGUUCCUGGGAGGUUCCAUGGGAUCAGCUCCGCCAGGAGGGCCAUGCUGCUUUCUCUUUGUCCCCAUCCCCCCGUCUCAGUCCCCCUCCAGCUGCCGCAGUCCCAGUUUGAGGACUCACACGUGAGCCUUUGUUCGGGACACAGCGACAGCCCACUUGCUCCGGUCGCCUUGCCAGCCUCAGUUUACGCCCCUCUUGUUCCCCUGAGUGUCGCUCGUGGACUCUGAGUGUGCUCUCCUGCCAGCCCUGCCCUCUUUUUCUACUGAACUCUUACUCCUCCUGCAGGAGGGUCACAGUGGCCCUCCCUGACCUCUCCCUUUCAUGGAGCCGCAUCCCUGCCUUUGCCCUGGUCUCCAUGCACAGUCCGCCCAGAGCUGUUUGCCACCACCGUCUGGCUGGGCAGAGCAGCACCUCAGGCAGGUCCAGCAGACAGUCACCUUACUCAGGUGCAGAGGGCUCCCCCCACACCUCCAUCCCCGGGGUCCUGGGAUGAUGAACGGAACCAGCCAGUUCUGUGAGGUCAAGUGGGCCCUGACCCACACAAAGAAGUUACUGGGCUAGAAGGUCUGUGGACGGCAUGCUGGCUGUGGCCAGUGGAUGGCCUCAAGACAGCCCAGAACGUGGACUCUUCCUCAGGGGCUCCCCAGGGCUGGUCACUCAGGUGCUGUUUGCUGGAGGAAACUUGUCACCUUUGGGAACUUAUCGGGGGUGUGUCCACACCUCUCUCUCGCCUGCCACACACUGGGGAAUCUUCACUCUGCGGGGAGGAGGUGUGACACACUUGCGCUCUCCCAAUGCCUGGGCGCCUCGCGUCCCCGUCUGCAGCUCCCGCCUGCCCAUGUGCGCUCCACUCUUCUGCCGAAUGGCCCCGUGAGAAGAAACAAGACUCGGAGGCUGAAGCAUUUAAGAGCCUACACACACUCUCUAGCUCCCUGCCCCUUCGAGGGGAAGGAUGAAGUCACAGCAAGCAGCAGCAGGGUCCCCGAGCCGCGGCUUGUGAGAGAGCUGCUCUGGAGAGCCGUGGUCGUGGCAGGUUUAGGGUAAGUGGGAAAUAAACCUUUGCUGUGUUAGGCUCCUGAGAUGAGGGUUAAUAUGUUAUCGCAGUGUAAUCUAGCCUCUCCUGAUGGAUAAAACCUGGAAAAAAGGUUUUGAAUUAAAAAGCCAAGAAACUGACAGCUUUGCUGAGUUCUCCUCUUCCGUCUGGACAGCAGAAGACGAUGGGAGAUCAAAAGAACCAGAGGAGAGGCGCACAAAGGAGCGGGUGUCCGUUCGCCCAGUGACAUGCAUUUGUGGGCUGAUGGAGUCCUGGCUCUCCCUCCUACCGUAAGGGCUGGAGAUGGAUGUCUAUGGGCUCGCCACUGUGUCUCCAGCACCCUGCACAACGCCUGCGGGAGGGGGUACUCAAACAAGAGUUCUAGAGGGAACUGGUGCAUAGACACGUAACUGCUUACCCUUGGAUGUCCCUCUGGGACCCAGGGGAGCAGGAGUCUUGGUCCUAAGAAGCUACCCCUUGGGAGGUUUGGCUGCAGUUCCCACCCAUACCCAGGCUGGGUCCACCCUGCCAGGCCCUAAAGGCACCCACGCACCCUGGAGAGUGCACAGACCAUGCAUAGGCCACAGAAGGACCAGGCCAGGUGGGCCAGGGCCGCCCCUCCUGGCAGGUCCCGCUGGCCCAGGAAGCCGGGACGUGGGCUGAGGAAGGGAAGGAGGUAGCCUCAGGGGUUCCAGGCUGGACCUCCAUGGCCUGUGCUGGAGCAGUUGGUGUUGCACAUGCAGGCCUGCUGCCAACAGAAGUGCGGGCGCUGGGCUGGCUCGUGCGUGAUCCCGCAGGCUGCCCGUCAAUGCCGGUUCUGUGAGGCUCCCUGCCGGCCAUCGCUCUGUUUCUCGGGUUGCUCCCGCGAGCUUGAUCACAGCACUUGGUUCCCUGUGCUGGGGCUUCUGACAGGGAGGAGCUGCCCCUCAUUUCUGGUGUUCUUAGCCUCCCCAUGGGAGUGACCCUGUGGACUUGUGAAAUCUCUGUGCGGGUCAGAUUGAGUAAACCCCAACAAGGUCACCUUCUAAUGAAAAGCUUCUGCGCAGCGCGUGGAGCUCCACACUUGGUACAGAGCUGCCCCCGCAAGGACACAGAGAACCUUUCCUGGAAGGGUUUUUCUGGAGCUUUGUGAAAUUAUUGGUGUCUCCACACUGGGGCAGAGGGGUCACUGAGUUCAACCAACAAACACCCAUUGUGUCUUUGCCCUGACGAGGAAGGUAGGGGUCCAGUGCCCCAGAAGUACAAAGUCAGGGAAGCGAGACGGACUCGUCAAAUGCAUCCUCUCUCUUGACGAAACUGUCCUGGCAUCUGCUGUGUGUCAGACACUGCUCUGGACGCUGGGACACAGCAAAGAGCACCGUUAUUAAAACGCAUCACCCUCUCUGGCACUUAUAUCUGAUGGUUGGGGACAGACAAGAAACACAAUAAACAGAGGAAAAAUAAAGUGGAGAAGGGGAAGAGGAGAGCUGGGGAGGUUGCCUUAAAACAGGGUGGUGAGAGAAGCUUCGUGUUGAGUUACGGCUGAGCAGAGGCCUAAAGAAGGUGAGAGCCUGUGCCCCAUAGGGAAGGGCCCACCAGGGGAAAGACACACCUGGGGAAGAACCCACCUGGGGAGCCAUACACCCGGGGAAGAGCCCACCUGGGGAACCAUACACUCAGGGAAGAGCCCACCUGGGGAACCAUACACCCGGGGAAGGGCCCACCUGGGGAGAGACACACCGAGGGAAGGGCCCACCUGGGGAACGACACACCUGGGGAAGGGCCCACCUGGGGAAAGACACACCUGAGGAAGGGCCCACCUGGGGAAAGACACACCUGAGGAAGGGCCCACCCAGAGAAAAUUCAUACCUGGGGAAGGGCACAACUGUGUGAAAGAUAUACCUGGGUAAGGCAGACCUGGAGAAAGGCCACACUUGAGGAUGAAGGAAAGGUACCCCUCAGGGAAAGACACACCUGAGGAAGGACACCUUGGGGAAAAUAGACACCAGGAGUAAGAGCACCCCUGGGGCAAAGAUCACCCGGAGGAAGGACACACCUGAGAGAAGGGUGCACCUGGGGAAGGGCACAGCUGGGGGAUGGGUGCAUCUUGGGGACAGGCGUACUGAGCACAGGCUCUGGGGCAGGAGUGUGCCUGGCAGGCUUCUGAGUGAUCGAGGGGAUGCAUGGAGUCAAUGUGAUUCCAGGUGCUUUCAGGGCCCCGACCCUGGAGGGCCAUGGAGCACACAUCAUCCUUUCCUUGUUCAUUCGUUCGUGAACGGCUGUUAGCACCAACUAUGUUCUAGGCCCUUCGUAAGCAGUGAGAAGUUACACAGUGAGGAAAGCUCGCAGUCUCAGGAGUGACGGAGAGCCGAGCUCUCUCAGGGACUUCACACUGGCUGUCUCCCCGCUCUGGGGUUCUCCUCCCCCGCUGGCUCCUCAGCCUCACCCAGGACCACGUCCUAGAACAGCACCUGGCACACAGCAGAUGCUCAGGAAACGCACGUGGAACGAAUGACGGCCUCCACUCUUAUCUCUGAGAACCUGCGCAUGCGAGGGUCGUGUAUACGUGGAGCUGAUUUGUGCCGAGACUGAGCAGGCCCCAUCCGUUCCCUCCUCCUCUCCUUCCCCUUUGUUCUGGAAGAGAGCUGUUCUUCACCUCUCCCAGACCCCCAGCCCCCAGGGCUCUGGAUCCCAUCCUCUUGGAUGCCUCAGGGACCUCCUUCCAUCAUUAUUCCAUCCAUCUCUCUCUAUCCUCCAUUGAUUAUUGUCCAACACUAUGAAGGUGUGCUCAGAUCUCCUCCGUGCUAAAAAUUCCCCCUUCGCCUAUCUCUUCCCUCCUCUUGUCAUGCAAACCUCUAAAAGAUAGGCUCUUCUCAUCUUGGGGUUUGGGGACAAGAUUCACAGAGUCAGUAACCAUUAGAAGUACUAUGCAGGAAUUUGCUGUACUGCCCACAGUGGGAUUUUCCCCUAGAGAGAUGAUUCGUGGCUUUAGUUAGAGUCUCACCCCCAAAAGUUAAGAAUCCUGAGAUGUUUACUCCACACUGCUUAUGAAUACAAUGGCUUCUUAAGGAACGUAUUUCUAGAGGAAGGAGUAGUCAGAGGCACUUGCCAAGCCUUCUGCCAGGAACUCUGCCCUAAUGGCUGCCUGCCUCUUCCUGGGGCUUAUCCACCCAGAUCUGGGCUGGUCGCCCAAAGAGGGAGAGUGUUCAGCAGUGUCAGCUGUGCUCACAGGCCUGGUGACUUCCACACUUGUAGCUGACUUUAUGCUUUUCACCCUGGCACAUACUUAAAGAACUUUUCAGUUAUAGUCCAAUCAGACCAGCUACCCUUCUUUACCAUUUUAUUCCAACCUCAACACAUACACAGUAAAAUUUGAUCCGUUCAGAAGAACAUUUUUAGUCAUUUGGCAGAAACAGUACGCCUGCUUGCAACAUCACUGGAAAUUUCCCAAUAUACAGUCUCUACUAAUGAGCUCAUUACAAAACCUCUCACAGCCUCCUGGAGGAUUAUACCGGGAACCAGAUGUAUCUAAGGUCUUAAUAUGGCUUCCAGAUAUUUUAUUUUUGUUAUUGUGGCUGCAAAUAAAGCUUCCUCACUUUAUUUCAUGAGCUUAUUGCUAGAAUAUAUAAAUGCAGCUUAUCACUGUGUUUAUCUUGUAUCCAGCCACUUUCCUUGAUUUUCUUCCUGUUGUUCCUGAACACUUACUACCUUCUUUGAGGGAGGACCAGACUUCUCUGCCUGUGGACUUCAGCUCUUGGCCAAUGAGUUGGGGUGCACUGCUGGUCCUGAGCAGGGAAGUGGUGUGUGUCCCUUCUAAGCAAAAGCUCCCCCUUCUGCAAAGGCUCCAUUAGCCCCAAUUCCAGCGUGUGUGUGGAGACUUCCCCACGCCAACAAGCAGAGUGUCCAAGAAUUCAACCCAGUUCUGACACUAUCUCCCUGGAGAUAGAAUCAGAUUCCACAGGUAAAGGGCUCAGUCCCAUAAGACCACCCUCCACUUCAGAUCCAGUCACAAGCCCAGGUUGUAACCACUGUUUUUGAUCAACCAGCUGCAAACUUGGAGGUUCCAAUGACCUCUCCUCAGGUUUGAUUACUUUGCUAGAAUGGCUCACAGACCUCAAGAAAACCCAUUUACUCACUAGAUUAUCAAUUUAUUACAAAGGGUACUAAAGGAUAUGAAUCAACAGCCAGAUGAAGAGAUACAUAGGAUAAAGUUCCAAACAAAGGAGCUUCCGUCCUCAUGGAGCUCGGGGCCCGGCACAGCAGCACACGGGAGCACGGAAGCAUUCUGGUUGCCCAGAAUGGAGGCUCUCCGAAAAAGGUCGAUGAGCUGUCCUUUUGGGUUUUUAUGGAGGCUUCAUUACAUACUUGUGAUUGACUGAAGCAUUGGCCAUUGGCAGUUGAUUCAGUCUCAAGUCCCCCUCCCUCAGAAAUCAGGGGCCAGGACUGAAAGUUCCAGUCCUCUGAUCACAUGGCUGGUUCUCCUGGCAAUUAGCCCCUAGUCUUUAGUGGGGUCCAAAAGUCACCUCAUUAACAUAAACAAGACACCCAUUUCACCUUAUGGCCCUGAAGUGUUUUUAGGAACUGAGGACCAGAGACCAAAUAGUAUAAAAAGAGAUGCUCCCAUUGCUCUUACCGCUCAGGAAAUUCCAAGGGUUUUAGGAGCUGUGAGCUAGGAACUGCGGAUGAAGACCAAGUGUAUCUGAGAAACGCAUUUCAGUCAUGUGAAAAGCCAAAUACGUAUAUUUCUUAUAAAUCACAAUAUCGCACUCUGGAUACCUAUUACUACUUUAAAACCAUUCCCAAAACAUGGUGGCUUAAAACGACAAUUAUAUCUAACAGCCCUAUGGAUUGACUGGCUUCAGUAGUUUUUCCUUAGGGUUUCUUAUGUGGUUUUGGUCAGUGGUUGGCUGGUGCUGCAAAUCUUCUGAAGUCUCAGCUGGGCUGGACAUCCAAGAUGGCUCAGUCACGUAGCUAGCAGUUAAUGCUGACGGUCACCUGGAAACUCAGCUGGGGCUCUUGACUGUGAAACAGGUAAACAGUUGGCCUUUGAUGAUCAAGUAGCUAGUAAGUAAAGUUCUUUCCUUUUUGCAAUUACUCAUCAUAGCUUUUAGUCCUUCCCCGGCCCACUGUUAACUGCGCUGCUUAAGCAAUAUGCUAUCUGACUCCCUCUGGGUUCCCAAAGAGAACAUCUCCCUGGAGCCUGGGUCACCAUGGUAAUGGGUGUGUGAGCUGUUUUUCACGAUUUAGGACCCCUUGUCCAGUUCAGGCGGGUUGAGACCACCAUCCCAUCAAUUGGGCCUGCUCAGAUGCCCAACAAGCAACCUUUUCAAGAGGCUAAAAACUCCACCCUCAGAUCACGCUCAUGCUACCAUUUUGUGAACAUGAGUCCUGUGAAGAGGCAUGGAGACUGACCACGCUUGCGCACAUCAUCAAUUACCUCCCCCCAGUCAUCUGUCUCCACACUUCAGACCACCUUGCCUACCCCAGAAAUAUCCCUGUGUCCCCAUUUUCAAGGAGGCUGAUUUGACAAUCAUUCUCCUGCUUCCUCCCUUGGCUGCCUUGUUGUUAAAACCCUCUCUGCUGCAAUCUCAUCGUCUCAGAGUUUGGUUUUCCAGGCACCAGGCAAAAAUGAACCUGGUUCGGUAACAACUGGAACGCUCACAAAUGGCAUCUCCGUGUGGCUUGGGCUUCUCACAGAAUGCGAGUUCAGUUCCAUGAGGGAGUACUUCAAGAAUGAGCGUUCCAAGAGUGAGUGCAUUAAGAGAUACAGAUAGAAGCUGCCAGGCCUAGCCUCAGAAGUCCCAGGAUGUUACUUCCGCCACAAUCUACUGGUCAAGCCAGUCCCCAAGACCAGUCCAGAUUCCAGGGAUAAGGUAAGAGUCCACUGCUUGGUGUAAGGAGCAUUGGGUGCAUGCAGGGGAGAAGGAAUUGAUAGUGGCUGUCUCUACCUCAAGCUUUAAGGACCAUCAUAUGGUUCCUCCAUACUCUUUCCCCUCUGCCAUGAGGCCGGCACGUCCCAGAGGAAGGUUGCCAGAACUCCUUCAACUGAUUCAACAACUACGUGUGUGAGCCUCUUGCCUUACAACCCAAGGCACUCUUCAGUGACACUCUGGCCUAGGGCAUGGGAGGGGUGAGGGGGGAUUGGCUGUGCUUGUGAGGCGAUGGGCACAGAAUUACGGAGUGAUGAGAAUUACUGUAGAACACUGAUGUAGCACUAGCUAUGUGCCAAACCCUGUUAUAAGCACUUUACACAUCAGCUAACAUCAUGCUUUUUUUUUUUAAACUUGCCAGAUAGAUUUUUUCAUUGUUGUGGUUGAGGAAUAUUGGCCCUGAGCUAACAUCUGUUGCCAAUCUUCUUUUUUUUUUUGCUCCCCAAAGCCCCAGCACAAAGUACUUCUUUCUAUCCUAGUUGUAGGUCAUUCUCGUUCUGCUAUGUGGGAUGCUGCCACAGCAUGGCUUGACAAGCUAUGUGUAGUUCCACACCCAAGAUUCAAAGCGGAGAAUCCUGGGCUGCCAAACAAAGCAGGCAUACUUAACCACUCAGCCACAGGGCCGGCCCCUAACGUCAUGCUUAAUGGCAGAACUUGAGAGGCAUACUCAUUAAGUUCAGAAAAUAAACAGGGGUAGAAGCUAUCAUUUUUAUUGUAAAAUUUUUGGAUAGUGUAAUAAAAUAAAAACAAAAUAGAAUACACAAUUAUUAGAAGAGAUAAAGUAUUACUACUUUCAGUAUGAUGAUUUUGACCCACAGAAAACCGAAGAGAAUUAACAGAAAAACUAUUAAAAUUAGUAAGUACGAUCGUAGAAGCUUUGUGAUCGGGGAUCAAUCACUUCCUCACACUUUCCCAUCUGAAUCUCUGCAGAGACUCCUGAGAAUGGGUCCCUGCCUUGUCAGCUCAGAGGCGUGGGGUGAAGAGCCAGGGAGAGAGUGGGCGAAAGGGGUAGUGGCCACGUUGGGAACGUGGAGUUUGGUGCCACGCGGGGCGCUCUGCACUUUAACACUGUGGCCACUGUUGAGUGGCGCCUCGUCCCCCUUGGUCCUUCAGGAGCUCCUGGGACUAGAGAUGCAGGACAGAGGGAGAGGCUCUUUCAGAAGAGAAGAUGGGCCCAGAGGCACGACAUUCAGUGGAGGGAACUUGUGGGUACACCACCUCCACCUUCUUUCCACGUUCCCUAUACCCAGUCCCAGUGCUGACGGCCUCUUUGAGCUUGCUUUGGGAAACUGCAGAUCUGUAUUGUAUGCAGCCUUGGUGAGAAACCAAUCGAGGCAUUUCCAGGGCAAGGGCCCGUGACACCGGCCAAGGAGACUCUGGUCCUCUGGGAAUCUGAACGGUGGGCAGAGUAAAGCCAAGAUGGGAAACAGCUGACCCCCUGUUGCUGCCACUGCUCCCUGACAAGAGCCUCGUCCAGACCUCAGUGGGAACUUCCUUUGCUCCGGUUCUCAAGUAUUGACUUUUCACUUUUUCUUUGACUCUGUGAGCUACCCAAAUCUCUCUUUGAUUCUUGAACCAGUCAACUGGACAGUUUCUGUUGCUUGCAGUCAAAGAACCGCCAAUGACAGCAGAGAGGUGAGGCUCCUGGAAAGACAGGGAGUGAUACGUGCCAGGCCCUGUGGCCCCUGGACAAUAAACAUCUCACUGUCUUUACAUGACACCCUAUGAGGUAGGGAUUGUUACCCUCAUUUUGCAGAUGUGAAAAACCGAGACUCAGAGAGGAAAUUGGUUGAUCAACGUCACAGCGAGUGAAUGACAGGGGGAAAAUUUCAAUCUAGGUCUGGGUCAGGGUUCUACAGGUGUAGACGGAUUUCUCCAAACCUGCGACAUGGGCUCAGGCACUGCCAGCUCCCAGGCAGGGGUGCACUCGCCAGCUGGACUUCCUGCUGACUCCAGCCUCUCCAGUGCUGGCUCCCCAACCCUGGGUCAGGCCCUGACCUGCAGGGAGGCCUGGAAAGGCCCAUGGGCAUCUGACUUUCAUAAACCUCAGCCAGGUCUUAUUCCUGAAACAGUUUUAUCAUUCAGCAUUUUGACAAAGAAACAAUGUGAACAAUUUGGCCAAAUGAAAUUUGGUUUCCUUUCCAUUCAUGUCUCCAUUCUAAUUGUGAUCUCUCCAAACUGUUUGCCAAAUUCCUUCCAUGUGUUUUCCCGCUUGGAAGUCUGAUUUGAGUCCCCCAGAGGACUCAAGCCCACAGUUUGGUCCUUUGUCCAUAGUUAAAGUCAGUCAGGCCAGAGACAUUUCCAAGAGAGACCCAGGGUGUUAACAAGGCCGCCCUGGAAAGUGAGCUGCGGGGUGGGGGUUCUAAGGGCUCCCUUGCCCGGGAGGAGGACACAGGCCAGGAGGACCGCCCCCCAGGAUGGGGACCAACAGAGCCAGGAGGGCUGAGCAGUCCUGGCCACUGGGGGGAGUCCCCAACUCUGGGCCCAGUCCCCUGCUGGCCUCAGAGGGCUCAGACUUGGCCUGAGUCCUGCUGUACUGCUGCGUCGCUGGGGGAGCCCGGCCAGGCCGCUGCGCCUCUCUGAGCCUCCGUUUCUCACCUGGCACACGACUCGCCUUCCAGGUGAUGUAUCUGAAACUUGAGCAGCUCAGUUCUUGU